AAAUUGAUUAUGUGAGUUCCUACUGACGUUGUGAGCGGCCGUGGGAAUUAAUUGCCCAUUAAAACUGAUCAAAUCUGCCGGGUGGCUUGUAGCACAUGCUAUCGCCCGCGUGCAUCGACCCGUUGGGAAUCCUUUCAGGAUGCGUUGACCUUUGGCGUUUUCUUUCCACCCAAGAUUUUGGGGCCGAACAGUGAGAUGGAUGAUUGAAGCUGUUCGUGGAAAGAGACGCAAACAUGCGCGAAUAUGAUUAUUUAGAGCGCGAGAGUAAUUUUUGGAAUCACGAAAUUAACUUCGUGAUGUCCGGUGAUGCAAUUUGCAAUUUGGCGGUUAAUCUGAGGAUUCCCAAGUUGAUCAAGUUCACUUCGAACUGAUCCGUGGAAGAGGCAGGAGUGGCCCAAAGUUCUCGCGCCGUGGUGUCUUCUCAAAGUUUGUAGAAUCGUGUGUGCUAUUGUGAAAAGGCGGUGUGUUAUCGUGUGUGGCUUCGUGCAAUUAAAGGUUUCUUGCCAAGCCGUUAAUCCGUCCGUGGCACCGCAACCGAACUCCCAGUGGCCAUUUCUGACCCCACUGUCAGGCUCAGAAGUUCUCCCGGGACACGCCGGAAGAGGGACGCUUCCGUUUCUACGCUCCCUAGGCAGGACGAAUCAGCAAGCGCAAUCGCAUUUCCGUUCCCCUAGUGACGACUAGGGAAACUUCGACGCACGUGUCGCGUCGCGCGCAAAUCGAGUAAGUUAUUCCGAUGUUCGAGUGAACCGACCGCCAACCAGCAGCAGAAAGGCAAUCCGCCUACCCCCGGCGGCAACCAAACUUCUUCGCCGAACGAGAGAGCAGCAGCGAA